UGCUCAUUCCUACUGCAGGCCUCCAAGACAUUCGGGCGCCCACCUGGCCCUCAGGGGAUGUGGCUGCCUGCACUGUUACCUGGCCUGCCGUCCUCCAUGCCCUGGAGGGGCAGAGGAGCCAUGGGCCCUGGCUGGACAGAGACCAUGACGUAGCUUCCCAGUGAGGGUAGCCCCAGAAAAUGUGGGGUGAGGAAGGAGGCUCAGCAUGCUUCAAGCCCCAUGGUCACCAACCUCAGCAUGCUGCCUGGCUGCCUGUGCACCGUCCCUCACCCACCCCCAGCUGGGCUCCUGUGACCUUGGCAGGCAUUGUGGUCUGCAUGUGAGGUGUCCCCUAGAAGCUCUUGUGUGAGACAUUUAAGAAGGAUCAGAGGAGAAAAGAUGAGGUUGUGGGAGUCUUCACCAAUCGGUGCAUGAAUCCCCUGAUGGGGUUAGCUGAGUGGUAACUGGAGGCAGGUGGGGUGUGGCUGGAGGAGGUGGGCUUGGGGGCGUGGCUUUGGGGUAGGUAUUUGUAUUUGGCAAGUGGAGUCUCUGCUUCCUGACCAUCACCUGCUUCCCUUGGCCUCGCUCCUCUGCCAUGAUGCUCUGCCCCACUUGGAGCCCAGAGGAGUGGAGUCUGCUCUCGAUGGAUGGAGACCUCUGAAACCGCUCAGGGCACGGCCUAGAAUCCGACACCCGUGAAACAGAAGCCCACCCUCUGACAGGGCAGGAGUAGGGGUCCACGUGGAAGCCCGCGGACCAAGCAUCUGUGUGCUGGGAUCAGAUCGUGUGUGUGUGCCUGCUGCGACUCAAGCCAGUGUCCCAAGCUGGGCCCCGUAGCCCUUUACCACGUGGUGAUGAUUCUCAGACUCAGAGGUCGCUCUACAAAGAGGCCCCUGGCAGACUGCCUGGCAGAGGAGGGCACUCGGGGAACCUCGGACUCCUGGCCUCAGUUCACCCUUCCUGCACUCACCACCUGCUCACCCCCGCGACUGCGGAACUCCUGAGGAGCUGGGGAAGGGAGUGGGUGCCUGCCCCGGCCAUCCCGGCAGGGCCCGCCUGUUGGGCUGGGGGAAGAGCUGAGGUGGACGCCCUGGCUGCUGGGUCACUCUCAGAGCCAUGUUACUGGGCUCUAGCUUCCAACCAGAAAGGGUGAGGGCAGUGUGGGGGGAGGCUGGACCUCUACUGCCUCCUGGGCGUGGGCCUGCCGGGGGCUCCGCAGCCCUCAACCUGGUCCCCUCUGUGACCCUAGCAUGUCUGGCACAACUUCACCACGUGGCACGAUAUGGGCCUGGUUUCAUCUCCCCAGGCUCUGUGGGGACAGGCACCGUCCCGGGUGCCAGCCUGGGAAGUUGGCAUCUUACCCCUGGACAUGGGUGGGCCGCGCCCCUGGACAUGGGCUGUGUGAGCAGCACCGAGAUGCCAUUCGGACUGAGCACCACCCAAUGUUUGACUCUAGGACAAUUCUGAAGCGUACUGAGAAUUUUAUGGGGUUUUUCUGUCUUGCUAAUUUAUGGAAAAUAACUCCUGCCAUUUUCCCACAGCCUGAGCCAAGGCUGUAAGAUCCCCUGGAGGGCAUUGGUCCCUAGAUGACAAGCGAUGACACAGAUUCCUAGGGACAAGGGGUUCUCCCUAUUAAAGCACAUGGAGAGC